UACGUAGGGGGCAAGCGUUGUCCGGAAUCAUUGGGCGUAAAGAGCGUGUAGGCGGCUCGGUAAGUCCGCUCUGAAAGCCCGGGGCUCAACCCCGGGAGGCGGGCGGAUACUGUCGGGCUAGAGUCCGGAAGAGGCGAGUGGAAUUCCUGGUGUAGCGGUGAAGUGCGCAGAUAUCAGGAGGAACACCAAUGGCGAAGGCAGCUCGCUGGGACGGUACUGACGCUGAGACGCGAAAGCGUGGGGAGCAAACAGG
rnacentral:rRNA from 1 species